rnacentral:rRNA from 1 species
AGAGUUUGAUCAUGGCUCAGAACGAACGCUGGCGGCAUGCCUAACACAUGCAAGUCGAACGAGACCUUCGGGUCUAGUGGCGCACGGGUGCGUAACGCGUGGGAACCUGCCCUUAGGUUCGGAAUAACUCAGAGAAAUUUGAGCUAAUACCGGAUAAUGUCUUCGGACCAAAGAUUUAUCGCCUUUGGAUGGGCCCGCGUUGGAUUAGCUAGUUGGUGGGGUAAAGGCCUACCAAGGCGACGAUCCAUAGCUGGUCUGAGAGGAUGAUCAGCCACACUGGGACUGAGACACGGCCCAGACUCCUACGGGAGGCAGCAGUGGGGAAUAUUGGACAAUGGGCGAAAGCCUGAUCCAGCAAUGCCGCGUGAGUGAUGAAGGCCUUAGGGUUGUAAAGCUCUUUUACCCGAGAUGAUAAUGACAGUAUCGGGAGAAUAAGCUCCGGCUAACUCCGUGCCAGCAGCCGCGGUAAUACGGAGGGAGCUAGCGUUGUUCGGAAUUACUGGGCGUAAAGCGCACGUAGGCGGCUUUUUAAGUCAGGGGUGAAAUCCCGGGGCUCAACCCCGGAACUGCCCUUGAAACUGGAAAGCUAGAAUCUUGGAGAGGCGAGUGGAAUUCCGAGUGUAGAGGUGAAAUUCGUAGAUAUUCGGAAGAACACCAGUGGCGAAGGCGACUCGCUGGACAAGUAUUGACGCUGAGGAGCGAAAGCGUGGGGAGCGAACAGGAUUAGAUACCCCGGUAGUCC